CGAAAUCCUUUUAAGUUGGGGAGAAUGUAAUGUCUGUGUAUUUAUGUGCAUAGGUGUAUAUAUAAUAUGUGUAUUAUGUUGUGUUAUGGCUCAAAUUUAAGCAAAAAGUUAAAGGAAAAAGAAAAUAAAAGGUGGUGGGACCUACCAUUAAACCAACUAAGGGCCAAGAGACCACAAAUGGUCUCAUUUCUCUCCUUCUCUCCCGUGCGCCUCUCUCUUCCCCUCUUCCUCUCGGUUUUUCUUUUCAUUUUAAUUUCCAAAACUUUGAAACAAGAUCUUGAUCUCAUUUCUUAUCGAAAUUGAGUGCCGUUUGAGGCAAAACGAAGCUCGUGUCAAGCUCUACACAUCCAUACAAGCGAUUUCAGAUUUAGUGCACUCCUUGGAGUUCGAAUCUUAGGACCCAUUUCUAGGGUUUGCGAAGAAAAUUGGGGUUUUUGCUCAAUUAGAGGAACCGAUAAGGAGGUAGUGGAUGCCGAUCUUCCACAAGCUUAAGGAUGACUUGGAGCUCAUUUUGUAUCUUUUGUAUAUCUCCCAUUUUUGUAAGGCCCCAAAAGUGUAGUAAUGUGUAUUUAUUUUUCAAAACCAUGGUUAGGUAAUAUAAUUAUGUUAUUAGAUGAUAUUUUGGAUGUGAAUUUAAUAACAUGUAAACCUUAUUGAUGAAUGGGGAGAGUAAUACUAGUUUGAAGUAUUAUUGAGGUCAUUUGAUUGUGUAUUAUCAUCUACAA